rnacentral:rRNA from 1 species
CGCUUCUUUUUCCACCGGAGCUUGCUCCACCGGAAAAAGAGGAGUGGCGAACGGGUGAGUAACACGUGGGUAACCUGCCCAUCAGAAGGGGAUAACACUUGGAAACAGGUGCUAAUACCGUAUAACAAUCAAAACCGCAUGGUUUUGAUUUGAAAGGCGCUUUCGGGUGUCGCUGAUGGAUGGACCCGCGGUGCAUUAGCUAGUUGGUGAGGUAACGGCUCACCAAGGCCACGAUGCAUAGCCGACCUGAGAGGGUGAUCGGCCACAUUGGGACUGAGACACGGCCCAAACUCCUACGGGAGGCAGCAGUAGGGAAUCUUCGGCAAUGGACGAAAGUCUGACCGAGCAACGCCGCGUGAGUGAAGAAGGUUUUCGGAUCGUA